rnacentral:rRNA from 1 species
AGCGAACGCUGGCGGCAGGCUUAACACAUGCAAGUCGAGCGGACCUUUCGGGGUCAGCGGCGGACGGGUGAGUAACGCGUGGGAACGUGCCUUCCGGUUCGGAAUAACCCUGGGAAACUAGGGCUAAUACCGGAUACGCCCUUAUGGGGAAAGGUUUACUGCCGGAAGAUCGGCCCGCGUCUGAUUAGCUAGUUGGUGGGGUAACGGCCUACCAAGGCGACGAUCAGUAGCUGGUCUGAGAGGAUGAUCAGCCACACUGGGACUGAGACACGGCCCAGACUCCUACGGGAGGCAGCAGUGGGGAAUAUUGGACAAUGGGUGCAAGCCUGAUCCAGCCAUGCCGCGUGAGUGAUGAAGGCCUUAGGGUUGUAAAGCUCUUUUAUCCGGGACGAUAAUGACGGUACCGGAGGAAUAAGCCCCGGCUAACUUCGUG